GUGGGAAUCAGUCGAUCCGCAUUCCCUUCCGCGAACGGUUGAUCCGGAUUCAACCUAGCCGAACGGCAGACGAAGACCCCGAACACUGACUAACACAGCAUCCUGGAUAUGUGUAAAGAAACCUGCAAGGAAGCAAGUAAAAAAACAAGCCAAGCCAAGGUUCCCUAGGGCACCUGCAUUACUGCACAAGGAAAGGCACGUGUGUUCACUCAGCGCUGGAAGGAAAGCUGUGCAGAGAGUGAGUGAAGUCACUUGUAAUAAGAGUGAUGAUGAGUUUUCUCGAUAACAAGAUGCUUUUGGUCCCACUCACGGACAAGGAAAUAUUUGGCACAGGAGUCAGCAUCAAAGAGGAGCUGCAAGAAGGUGUCACCGAUGAGACAUGCCUGGAAAUCAAAGACGAACCCCUUGAUUUUGGGGAUGGAAACAAUGAAUGAAGCGAGUGACGCAAGGUGAUUCA